GAUGAACGCUGGCGGCGUGCCUAAUACAUGCAAGUCGAGCGAACAGACGAGGAGCUUGCUCCUCUGACGUUAGCGGCGGACGGGUGAGUAACACGUGGAUAACCUACCUAUAAGACUGGGAUAACUUCGGGAAACCGGAGCUAAUACCGGGUAAUAUCUUGAACCGCAUGGUUCAAUAGUGAAAGACGGUUUUGCUGUCACUUAUAGAUGGAUCCGCGCCGCAUUAGCUAGUUGGUAAGGUAACGGCUUACCAAGGCAACGAUGCGUAGCCGACCUGAGAGGGUGAUCGGCCACACUGGAACUGAGACACGGUCCAGACUACUAAGGGAGGCAGCAGUAGGGAAUCUUACGCAAUGGGCGAAAGCCUGACGGAGCAACGCCGCGUGAGUGAUGAAGGUCUUCGGAUCGUAAAACUCUGUUAUUAGGGAAGAACAAGUGUGUAAGUAACUAUGCACGUCUUGACGGUACCUAAUCAGAAAGCCACGGCUAACUACGUG
rnacentral:rRNA from 1 species